rnacentral:rRNA from 1 species
UCCCCAAUUGGUAWUYGAGAAACCGAACRGAUCCUACGAGCAGMGUACGAAUUUGUCAUGGACAGCUGACAGCAUGCGCGGAGAKACGACUAUGRUUGUAACUKCUUUGUACGGAUAUCCAGUACGUGUACUGCUGAUGUACGUACGAUAAGGAUCGGCUACUCCGUGCCAGCAGCGCGGUAUACGGAGGAUCCAAGCGUUWUCCAGGAUUCAUGGGUUUAAAGGGUGCGUAGGCGGAUUUGUAAGUCAGUGGUGAAAUCGUGCAGCUUAACUGCAGAACUGCCAUUGAUACUGCAAGUCUUGAGUGUGUUUGAAGUGGGCGGAAUGUGUCAUGUAGCGGUGAAAUGCUUAGAUAUGACACAGAACACCGAUUGCGUAGGCAGCUCACUAAACCACAACUGACGCUGAGGCACGGCAGCGUGGGGAUCAAACAGGAUUAGAUACCCUGGUAGUCCACGCCGUAAACUAUGAUCACUCGAUGUUGGCGAUAUACAGUCAGCGUCUAAGCUAAAGCGUUAAGUGAUCCACCUGGGGAGUACGGUCGCAAGAUUGAAACUCAAAGGAAUUGACGGGGGCCCGCACAAGCGGAGGAGCAUGUGGUUUAAUUCGAUGAUACGCGAGGAACCUUACCAGGGCUUGAAAGUUAGUGACCGCUGCCGAAAGGUAGCUUUCCUUCGGGACACGAAACUAGGUGCUGCAUGGCUGUCGUCAGCUCGUGCCGUGAGGUGUUGGGUUAAGUCCCGCAACGAGCGCAACCCCUAUUUUUAGUUKCCAGSGAGUAAWGUCGGGGACUCUAAAGAAACUGCCCGCGUAAGCGUGGAGGAAGGUGGGGAYGACGUCAAGUCAGCACGGCCCUUACGUCCUGGGCUACACACGUGCUACAAUGGACGAGACAGUGGGCAGCUACAUAGUAAUAUGAUGCUAAUYUCCAAACUCGUUCUCAGUUCGGAUUGAGGUCUGCAACUCGACCUCAUGAAGCUGGAUUCGCUAGUAAUCGGAUAUCAGCAAUGAUCCGGKGAAUACGUUCCCGGGCCUKGUACACACCGCCYKKCAARCAAWGGAAGYUGGGGGUACCYGAAGUCGAUAMCCGCAAGGAGUCGYMUAGGGUAAAACCAGUAACUGGUGUUAAGUCGUAACAAGGUAACCGU